rnacentral:rRNA from 1 species
GGAUGAGCCCGCGGCCUAUCAGCUUGUUGGUGGGGUAAUGGCCUACCAAGGCUUCGACGGGUAGCCGGCCUGAGAGGGUGACCGGCCACACUGGGACUGAGACACGGCCCAGACUCCUACGGGAGGCAGCAGUGGGGAAUAUUGGACAAUGGGCGAAAGCCUGAUCCAGCAACGCCGCGUGAGGGAUGACGGCCUUUGGGUUGUAAACCUCUUUCAGCACAGACGAAGCGAAAGUGACGGUAUGUGCAGAAGAAGCACCGGCCAACUACGUGCCAGCAGCCGCGGUAAUACGUAGGGUGCGAGCGUUGUCCGGAAUUAUUGGGCGUAAAGGGCUCGUAGGCGGUUUGUUGCGUCAGGAGUGAAAACUCGGGGCUUAACCCCCAGCCUGCUUCUGAUACGGGCAGACUUGAGGUAUGCAGGGGAGAACGGAAUUCCUGGUGUAGCGGUGAAAUGCGCAGAUAUCAGGAGGAACACCGGUGGCGAAGGCGGUUCUCUGGCAUUACCUGACGCUGAGAGCGAAAGUGUGGGGAGCGAACA